AUGAACGCUGGCGGCGUGCUUAACACAUGCCAGUCGAACGAAGCAUUUAAGACAGAUUACUUCGGUUUGAAGUCUUUUAUGACUGAGUGGCGGACGGGUGAGUAACGCGUGGGUAACCUGCCUCAUACAGGGGGAUAGCAGCUGGAAACGGCUGGUAAUACCGCAUAAGCGCACAGUACCACAUGGUACAGUGUGAAAAACUCCGGUGGUAUGAGAUGGACCCGCGUCUGAUUAGCUUGUUGGCGGGGUAACGGCCCACCAAGGCGACGAUCAGUAGCCGACCUGAGAGGGUGACCGGCCACAUUGGGACUGAGACACGGCCCAGACUCCUACGGGAAGCAGCAGUGGGGAAUAUUGCACAAUGGAGGAAACUCUGAUGCAGCGACGCCGCGUGAGUGAAGAAGUAGUUCGCUAUGUAAAGCUCUAUCAGCAGGGAAGAUAGUGACGGUACCUGACUAAGAAGCUCCGGCUAAAUACGUG
rnacentral:rRNA from 1 species